UUUCGUUCCUCCCUCCGCUGCAGAUUGGCCGGUCUCCUCCGCGACCCACCUCCUAAGUCCUAAGUGUCAGAUCCUGAAGGUCGGCUGCACUCCUCCGCGGCUCCGCCACUCACGUGAACUCCUCGGCGUCGUCUUUGAUAGAUGGAGAAAGGCAAGGAGAACACAUCUCCUAUAACACCUCCUAUUGUAGAUCUAGCAACAAAUCCAUCAACUUAGGUAUUCAUUAAUUGAAGUUAAAAUUCAGUUUUUAUUCAUUAUCAUAAUUGGUUUUGUUCCAUAGGUGAUACCAAGACCAUUUUUCCACCUUUCUCAACACCUCCUACUGCAAAUCCGUCAACCAAUCCAGCAACCGAAGUGAAGUGAAUAUUAAAUCAAGUUCAUUUGACUGUUCUAAUAAUGUCUAUAUUUAUAUUACUACAUCUUUGUUUCAUAGUCAUUAUUGCUUUAUAUGUUAGGUGAUACCAAUACCAUUUUAUCCGGAUUUCUCAAACUAUAUGCAUGGUUGCCAUCCACCAAUGCCACAUGCGUGGUUACCACUAUUUGUUCCUCGUCCUGAUGCCAACCCAUCUGCAUGGACUAGUCAGGGAAAUCUUCUGCCCCCAUUUCACUCAUCAGUUAACCCUUCGAUUGGUUUACACUCCGCAAGUUCAAGCCAUGUGGUACAAAUUCAAAAAGCCACACCUGACUCUUGGAAGGUUGAAAGUUUGUCUACGCCCUCCGUUCCUAAUACUAUUGAAUCCAAAGAUGAUGAUAAGUCUGGAACACAGAAUAUAGUGCAUAUUGAGGGGGGGCGAUAGCAUUGAGGAGCCAAAGUUGGGAAUGGUGUUUAAAUCUGAAAAAGAAUUACUUUCUUAUUAUAAGAGAUAUGGGAAACAAUGUUGUUUUGGAGUAAUGACGCAAAGGAGUAAGAGGUGUGAGGAUGGGACUCUUAGAUAUGUCACACUAGGUUGUGCCCGUGGAGGGAAGGCAAGGAACCAGACAUCAAAUGUUGCAAGACCACAUCCGACAUCAAAGACAAACUGUAAGGCAAAGAUAAAUGCUAAGUUUAUUGAUGGGAUGUUGGAAGUGUUGAGUGUACACAAUGAGCACAAUCAUGACCUAAGUCCAUAAAAAUCAAAGUUCUUUUGCUACAAUAGGGAAGUGAGUAAGUCUGUAAAGAGAGUCUUAGAUACAAAUAAUCAGGCGGGGAUCCGAAUGAAUAAGGCACGUCACCUUCAACUUGGGAAAGGUGGUGUUGGAGCCCUUCGUGAGUAUUUUGCUAGGAUGCAAUAUAAGAAUGAUAGAUUUUUUGCACUAAUGGAUUUGGAUGAUGAUGGCAAGUUGAGGAAUGUUUUCUGGGCAGAUGCACAAAGUAGGGUAGUGUACAAAUAUUUUGGCGAUGUCAUCACAUUCGACACCACGUAUUUGAAAAACAGAUAGGGGAUGCCUUUUGCAUCGUUUGUAGGUGUAAAUCACCAUGGUCAAUCAAUUGUUUUGGGAACAGGAUUGAUCUCUAGUGAGGAUACUGAAACGUUUAUAUAGUUGUUUGAAACUUGGUUGAAUUGUAUGGAUGGUAAAACCCCGAAGACUAUUAUCACAGAUUAAGAUAGAACAAUGAAAAAUGUGAUUGCUGUUGUCUUUCCAAAAAGCCAACAUAGAUUUUGCUUGUGGCACAUCCUAAAAAAAGUACCUAAGAAGUUGGAUUCUCACAGUGCAUACAAAACCGAGUUGAAAAAUCAGUUGCUCAAGUGUGUGUAUAACUCUCAGACCAUUGAGGAGUUUGAAAAAUGUUGGAAUGUGUUAAUUACGACGUAUAACUUGCAGGAAAAUGCCUGGUUGCAAUCAUUAUACACUAUGCGUACCUAUUGGGCACCGGUAUUCCUAAAAGAUUUUUUUUGGGCUGGAAUGAGUAUAACCCAACAAAGCGAGAACAUGAAUGCUUUUUUCGAUGAGUAUGUUCAUGCUAGGACAGAUUUAAAAGAGUUUGUCGAUCAAUUCAAUAAUGCAUUGAAGAAGAAGAUUGAGAAUGAAAAUGGGGCAGACUUCCACUCAUUCAAUGUCACAAUCCCAGUCGUAUCUACCUCCCCACUCAAGAAGAUAUUUCAAGAGUUGUACACGAAUUCUAAAUUUAGAGAAGUUCAACAAGAAGUAAUAGGGAUACUUAGUUGUCUUCCAGUUCUACAACAAAAGGAUGGUGUAAUUGCAACAUACCAUGUAGAAGAUGAAGUCUGUGUUGAUGAUUUCAUCAAAGAGGUUACCCAUUCUGUAUACUUUAAUGGGGCUAAGUGCAAGGUUAAGUGUUCAUGCGGAUUGUUUGAGAUGACAAGUAUAUUGUGUAGACAUGUAUUAGUCAUUUUAAGGGCUAACUGAGUUCGUUCACUGCCCGAUAAGUACAUAUUGGACCGAUGGAGGAAGGAUAUAAAAAGAAAAUACACCCUGAUAAGUAGUAGCUAUGACAUAGCUGAUGCAAGGCCAGAAGUGAGCAGAUAUUCACAUAUAAUGAAGAUAUGAGACAACAUCGCAACAAAUGCAGCUUCAUAUGAUGAACAUACUCAAGAUAUGAUUAAUAAGUUGUAUGCAAUGAACGAGGUCUAUCUCACGAACAAGCCACCAAUCCAAACUUGUUCCAACGUUGCAAUUACAACUAUAGAUAAAACUACAGCUACGAACGAGGUCUAUCUCAUGAACGAGGUCUAAUGUUUCUUGCUAUUAUGUUACGCUAUAUUAUCUUCACAGAUACAACUUGGGAUGGAUGGAAUACAGGCAGAGGUAAAUGGAAUACAGCCAAAUAAAGGGGAUGGGACACAGUCGGAGCUGUAGUUGGGGAUUUUGGUUUUGUUAUCAUUGAUUAAGGUACAAGUGUUGGUGAAAUUACAAGUAUAGCAACCAAGAGCCAAGCGAAGCAUUUAGGGAUAUAGAACUAUUAAUUUAUGUAAAAAUCCUUCUUGGGCUGUAAAACAAUAUUAAUUGUUUUUCCUAUGUAGUGUGUGGUUUGGACUUUACAUUUGCUUCAUGGGCUGUAAAAAAUAUUUUAGAGUUCAUUUGAAUAGACGUGGGUGAGAUUUUAUAUUAGUAUUAGAUUGAUAGAUGUGGAUGUGCUUUUGUAUUUGACAGCUUCUAAUCGUGAAGUGCUAUCAGAUUGGUUGAUGUCGGUUUAUAAAGAUAUGAACCUUGAAUGUGAGAUGGUAAUUUUGAUUGUA